rnacentral:rRNA from 1 species
AUCGUACGACGAGUUUGGAUCAUGGCUCAGAACGAACGCUGGCGGCAGGCCUAACACAUGCAAGUCGAGCGAACCCUUCGGGGUUAGCGGCGGACGGGUGAGUAACGCGUGGGAACGUGCCCUUUGCUACGGAAUAGCCCCGGGAAACUGGGAGUAAUACCGUAUGUGCCCUUCGGGGAAAGAUUUAUCGGCAAAGGAUCGGCCCGCGUUGGAUUAGGUAGUUGGUGGGGUAAUGGCCUACCAAGCCGACGAUCCAUAGCUGGUUUGAGAGGAUGAUCAGCCACACUGGGACUGAGACACGGCCCAGACUCCUACGGGAGGCAGCAGUGGGGAAUCUUAGACAAUGGGCGCAAGCCUGAUCUAGCCAUGCCGCGUGAUCGAUGAAGGCCUUAGGGUUGUAAAGGUCUUUCAGUGGGGAAGAUAAUGACUGUACCCACAGAAGAAGCCCCGGCUAACUCCGUG